GGGGGACCCGACUAGCUAUCAUAGUGAGAUUAGAGCCUGUGAGGGAACGAACCAACACGCGGCGCACGGCUCAGUAACACGUAGUCAACAUGCCCAGAGGACGUGGAUAACCUCGGGAAACUGAGUCUAAACCACGAUAAUUGAGCAUUUCUGGAAUGGUUCCUGACUAAAAUCUAUAUGGACUCUGGAUUGGACUGCGUCCGAUCUCGCUGUUGGUGAGGUAAUGGCCCACCUAACCUGUAACCGGUACGGGCUCUGACAGGACGAGCCCGGAGAUGGGCACUGAGACCACGGCCCAUGCCCUAUGGGGCGCAGCAGGCGCGAAACCUGUAGCAAUAGGUGAAAGCCUGACAGGGUUACUCUGAGUGACCUUCGCUAAGAAAGUCAUUUGGCACCUCUAAAAAGGGUGCAGAAUAAGGGGUGGGCAAGUCUGGUGUCAGCCGCCGCGGUAAUAUCAGCACCCCGAGUGGUCGGGACGAUUAUUGGGCCUAAAGCAUCCGUAGCCGGUUCUGCUAGUCCCACGUUAAAUCCAACUGCUCAACAGAUGGGCCGCGGAGGAUACUACAGAGAUAGGAGGCAGGAGAGGCAAGCAGUACUCAGUGGGUAGGGGUAAAAUCCGUUGAUCCAUUGAAGACCACCAGUGGGGAAGGCGUCUUGCCAGAAUGCACUCGAUGGUGAGGGAUGAAAGCCGGGGGAGCAAACCGGAUUAGAUACCCGGGUAGUCCCAGCCGUAAACGAUGCAGACUCGGUGAUGGGUUGGCUUCGCGCUAACCCAGUGCCGCAGGGAAGCCGUUAAGCUCGCAAAAAUGGCCCAGUACGGUCGC
rnacentral:rRNA from 1 species